UGGGCGCGUUCCGGCUCGCAGCGAGUCUGCCUGAUCUCCUCCGUGCACCGCCCCAGGGGCGCGGGUGAUGGUCCGCACUGCUCGCGCUCAGUAAGUGGAGGUGCAGUGAAUUUCUACUGAUAGCCAAAGGAAACAGCCCAGAAACUUGGUCUUUAACCGCUAAAAACGGUAGUGAAGAGGCUGGAUGGGAAUUCAGCCCUUGAAAGGUUAGGAGGCUGUCCCCUCCAUCUGACACCCAAGGGAUUGUUCGCCCAUCCACUUCCCAAAUUCAUUCAUCCAUUCAAUUAUUUAUUGAACAUAUGCUGGUGCCAAAUGCUAUUUCUGAAUGCCUUGGCCCUGAUGGUAGUCAUAAUCGGCCCCUAACGGAAUAGUACCGUCUUCCACAUCCCAGGUAAUGGCAAACGUACUUCUCUGUGCCACCAUCCAAUGCUCAGUACGCUCUUCCUUCUUUUUUCCUCAGCCUUCAUAUGUAAUUCUCCACCCAUCCUGUGCUCUCUACCUUCGAACUUCACCUCAUCACACUGUAAGCCUGGGCUCAUCGCAUAUGGUCUGCCUGGUUCACAGAAGUCCCUCAGUGACCUUCUGCUUCCAUCUAAGGAGACUUUCUCCACAGCAGACAAGGCAAACCUUGAAAACGCAGCUCUGUGGGCUGGAGAGAUGGCUCAGUGCUUAGCAGCACUCUUUGCUUUUGCAGAGGACAGGGGUUCAGUGUCUAGAUUCACGUGGUGGCUCAACAACUAUCACUACCCCAGUUCUAAGGGAUCUGACACCGUCUUCUGAACUCCGAGGCAUGCAUAUGGUGCACACAUACAUACAUGCAGGCAAAACUCCCAGACACAUAAAAUAACCUAAAUAGAACCCAACCCAACCCUGGUCAUUCCUCUCUCAGUUUGGAGAAAUGGCUUUCCUAAGCCUCACCCUCUGCCUUUUGAUCCUGUUUCCUACAGUUAUCUUCCUCAUUGCUCUGCUUGUGGCUCUUCAAACACAGUAACUCAGGGGCCUUUGGAACUAGCAGUUAGUUCUCUCUGAUGAUACCCUCAUUUCCCUUAAUUAUUUGUCAAAGUGAGGUCUACUCCGACCAUUUAAACCUCAAGCUCCCCACCAUGAGAAGCUCACGCUCCAUUUCCCCGGAUGAUUUUCACCUUGUAACAUAUUUACUCCAGGUGAUACUUUUAAUUGAAGAAAAGUUGGUAAAUAACAACAAUAACAAACACCGCACCCCACAAAAACCACCCAGCACAACUCAAAGCAGGGUGUAGCUACUCCUCUCUUUCUCUACAUUGUGAGGUCAGGGAGGGGACCUCAGAGCUGACCUAAAUGUCAAGGAGUUCUGAGGCUAGUGAUGGGGGUUGGGUGAGAAGGAAGGGCUCUCUGGGCUUCAGGAACUGCAGAAAAGAGGUUGAGGUGGGAACCCACAAGCUCCUGGGCAGGCGUUUGAACGCAUUUGCCCUUGGCUUCUGGGAGUCCUGCCUGCCUUAGUUCUAUCCUGCAGUCUUCCCUUAAGCGUUUGGAUGGACAAACUCCAGGUAGAGCUUUGGGACCACAAGUGAACUGCAGACCCUCACUGGCGGGUGAGAGAAGCCGUAAUGGCCAAUUUCUAGAGGCAGAGAUGGGGCUGACCCAAGGAUUUGGUUGCAGGCUCUGUAGGAGCUCGCCUUAUGAAGCGCCCCAUCCGAUGAAUUGCCCGGCUUGGCUCUGCCAGCGUGGGGUGGGACUGGCUGGGCGGUAAGGGGGAACUUUUGGGGAAAAAAAACUGUCUAUUUCUCUCUCCUUUGGUGGUGGGCUGGAGGCCUGCGGGUAGCCUGACGUUGGGCUUGGGGUUCGAGGUCAUCCAUCACCGACAAGUCCUGUGGCUCAGGCGGGUCCUCACCGCCCAGGUCCUCAGUUUCCCUCCGGUGUGCGUGCCGAGGCGACUUUGCAGAUCCCGAGGCCUGGUGUGUACUGGGCGGGGAGAGACCGGGGCGGUAACACGAGCCUCCCGGGCGGGGUCUCCUGGCUCCCGCGGCCACGUCUGCGGCCCGGGCGGAGGCGCGGGGUCCGGAGCAGAGAGAGGUCGCAAAGCACCCGACGAGCCAGGCUCAGGCUCUGGAGGUGAGUGCGGGUCGGGCGGGCUCCGGGAGGAGGUGACCUGGAGGGCGUGGCUGAAGAGCCCGGGCGGGAUCCAGGGAUCCAGGCACCCAUAGGGCCGCCCCAGGGAGAGGCCUCAUCUUUAGGCGCUCGUGGGCUCGGUCCCUCCGUGGGGCCCACGAAGGGCUGCGGCUAGAAGGGCCUUCCUCUUUUCCGGGCCUGCUUGCUUCUCUUUGGAGCCCUUCUUCCCCUCCCGCAUCCUUGCUUCAAUUUCAUCACUACUUGAUGAAUUCAUUAUUUAAUUGUAUUUGCUUACUGCGUGUCUCUCCUACCGCAAAGUAGAUUUCAGAAGGACAGGGGCAUAGUUUUGUCCCCCGAUGUGUUCUUACGAAUUCAGCAAGUCUGCACGGGGCUGAUUAUUGGUGGUCACUGGACAAUCAAGCUUAUAGACACCCUGCAGAUGGGGACAGUGAAGAGUGAAAACAUUGACAGAGGGAGGCGACGUGGACAGAGCCAGAAAAUGGAGGGUUGCUGGCCAGUCGACCUUAGAACAAGCCGCUUUGGGUGCAGCAAUGAUCACGAGAGAUUUUUGUGGCUCUUCUGAUAAGUGUGUCACCAACAAGACCCCACCAAGAAGGUGUGAGACCAUAUACUGCUUCUCCUUCAUUAUGACUCUUGCGGGUUGAGCUGCCAUAGGAACCUUGGAGCACCAGAAUUUGUUUUUUGAUAAUCCAGUUUGUGUGUGUGUGUGGUCCUUUCAUGACCUUUGAAAAGAACAGCAAGGAAGACGAGUCAGUGUCCUUCACAGAUGAAGUCUGAGAGCUGCAGGGACACAGUAGCAGCCACAGGACUGGGCUGGAGGUCUUCUGAGCUUGGGUCCUUUCCUCCAGGGGCUACCAUCUCUACCUCAGCGUUCUUGUGGGAGCCAUGAAGCUGAACAAGAGGAGCGUGACCCACUAUGCCCUGAGUGACUCUCCAGCAGAUCACACUGGCUUCCUUCGUACUUGGGGGGGACCAGGGACAGCACCUACUUCCAGUGGUGCUGGCCGAAGAUACUGGUUUGUGCUCAAGGGCAACCUGCUAUUCUCUUUUGAGAAUAGAGAAAGCCGGGCCCCUCUGAGCCUGGUGGUGUUGGAGGGCUGCACGGUGGAGCUGGCCGAGGCUCCUGUGCCUGAGGAAUUUGCCUUCGCCAUUCGCUUUGAUGCCCCUGGAGUGCACCCGCACCUGCUGGCAGCAGAUGGGCAGGUUGCCCAGGAGGCCUGGGUAAAGGCACUAUCCCGAGCCAGCUUUGGCUACAUGAGACUUGUAGUUCGAGAACUGGAGAGCCAGUUGCAGGAUGCCCGUCAGAGCCUGGCCUUGCAUCGCUGUGUGUCCCAGAAGUCUGUUGCCAGCUGCAGUAAGCCUCGGACUCCUGACCGCUCAGCUCCAGGCCCUGAGAAUGGCUACUUUCUCCCUAGGGACCGAAAUUCCAAUGGUUCUGUGGAAGAAAGGGGGAGCAGGCCAAUGGGUCGGGAUUUGACUGAAUGGGAGUUACAGGGCCCUGCCAGCCUCCUCCUAAGCAGGGGACAGAGCCCUGUGUCCCCUGAGACCUCCUGCUUCUCUACCCUGCAUGACUGGUAUGGGAAGGAGAUCAUGGAGCUAAGGCGAGGAUGGCAGCAGAGGGCCAAGGGGAGCCAGCCAGAGAGCAAGCAACAGGACAGGCCCUGAGUCCCGGCACUUUGCACUGUGACCCUGGCCUGCUGGCCAGGAUGCCAGGGUCAGUACUUCAGGAGUUAAAUGUUUACUCAUUUCUCAGAUUGCUGUGUGUGUGUGUCCCCCUCCUGCUCUGUAGACUUUCUCCAACUUGCAAUCCUCCCCUCUGCCUGGAGUGAACUGAGGAAUCCUGACUUCCAACCUGUGUCCUGAGGCCUAGAAAGGCCGGGUGGCUGAUGGGAACAUACUGUAAUGUCAGAAGGGGCCGUGCCCCCUGCCCCUGCCGGACACUCUAGCUGUAAUUUCCAACAUAAGAAGUCUUGGGCAUCUGAAUGCCAGUGGUGCCAGCAGACGUUGCCCGAGGACUGACAUCGACAUGGUUUGUGCAGGGCUCUCUGUAGGAGAGGCUCUUCCGGUGCUAAGGGGGAUUUUUCUCCCCCGCCACCUUGUCAGUGCCCAGUGCUGGCCAUGGCCCUGGGAGAGGCAGGCAGCCUUUAUCUAGGAGCGGCCCUUCCUGAUCUGCUGUCCACGGCUUGUCUGCCAAGAACCCUCGUGGCUACUUUCUCCUGUAUCAUGCCAAGUGUUGUUUUCUUCUAAGAGGACAAAUGGCUGGGUCUACAGAGCCAGAAGCCAGGCCCAUCUGUCCCUUUAUGUAUGUGCGGUGACGGUGACUGUGGGAAAAUGUGGGGCUUGAUAGAGCUAUACCUCUUUCCCCAACAAAACUGCCUCUUCCUGACCACCCUGCUUUCCCUGUCUGGGGACUUGGGGCAACCUGACCCAGAUCCACCCAGGCCUAAAGGCCAGUCUUUGGCCUCCAGGAGACUUGAGUUUCAUGGUCUCCUUGGCCAGGGCCAGGUCCUGUGUUGCCAGGCAUGGUUCUCAGCCUGCCUAUAGCGUCAUAGCCAUCUGCCCUUGAUUGUACACACAGUACUACGCCUUUGCUAACGUUGUUAGUGUUCAUUCUUCAGUUUGGUUUUUGGAGACCAGGUCUCACUUUGUAGCCUCUACAGGCCUGGAACUCAUUCUUAGCUUUGCAAGCACUGGGAUUAUAGUUAUGAAUCACCACACCCUGUUUGGUUUUGUUUGCUUUGUAGCCCUUCUUGGUUCUCGGGAAGGCCUGCCCUUUAGGUUUUUGUUUUCUUAGAACAGUAAAGUUUGCAGGGUGUGGUCGCAAAGGAGUAGAGAAGGAUCAGGAGUUCAAGGCCAUCUAAGGUUUUUGACUAGCUACACGCGAGACCCUUUCAGAAAAAAAUUAUUCAUUUUGGUUAUUAUAACCCGUGUUUACAAAUGAAGAGUCGGAGCUGCGAAGCCAGAGUCCGAACCUAGCGACUGAGUGAGUCCGGGAACCUGUCCUGCUGGUGCAACCUCCACCGGUACAGUUCUGCUCUUGCUUGUUCCCUCGCCCUAUGGGAAGCCUUCUGCUCACUGCACCUGUUGUUCGAGUGUUCACAGACGCUAUGGGCUCUUGUUAACUUUUUAUUGUUAAAGUUUCUUUUUAUAAAUUCAAAUACCAAGUAAAGUUUUUC